rnacentral:lncRNA from 1 species
CAUUCUUUAUUCUCUUAAAUAAAUUUUUAUAUAAAUUGGUGUAAAUUAUGUGAGAAAGCAAAAUGUUAAAUCGCUUGCGAUCUCUAUAUUCAAGAUGUUUGUUUAAUCACUAAUUUAUAUGACUAAAAUCACUUAGACUCUAUUUGACAUUACAGAGAGAGAUUACAUUACAAGCAGUGUGAAAAUAUGAUAAAAAAAUAACAUAUAUAUAUAUAUAUAUAUAUAUAUAUAUAUAUUCAUACGUAUUAUCGCACUCAGUAUAUAGCGCAAUGAGUCGCUCAUGAUAUAUUUUAUAUGGCUCCACUAAAAAAUGUAGAAAUAUUUCUCUAUAUGAUUUUAUCUUUAUUUUAUUUCAUCAAUCAAAUAAAAUAAAUUUGAAAAGCCAUAAAAUUAAGGAUUAAUUUCAUACAGAUUUCUACAAACAUAGUGAGUUGCAAAUAUAUUUAUACAAAGUUCAACUUUCAUAUAUUGUCCUUAUAAAAGUUCUAAUAUUUUCAAAUAUAUCUCUCUAGUUUGUUACCGUUAAAACACUGUUUAUUUUAUAAGUAAAAUGACAUUUUUGUCAUCACAAAUAUAUUUUUAAAAAAAUUUCAAUUGUUAAUUGAAGAGGAGUAAAAAGGUCAAUUCACCUUAUUAACUAGCUAAGAUUAAAUAUUUUACUAUAGUUAAUUUUUUCUAACGGAUCUUAACGACAAUGACAUAUUUAAAAACAUCAAGAGUUUUAUAGGGAUAACAUAUGAAAGUUAAAUUCUAUAGAAAUAUANUUAGCUUAGUAUUUUGAAGUUAAAAUACUACUAACUUGCUCAAAUCAAAUAAAUUAAAAAAUUUUGACUUAAAAUCAUUCAUGAUUCACAUAAACUUUAUUUGUACAUUUUUAUCUAAAAUUAAAUAAUAUAUCAAUAAUUCAUAACACGUAAAAUUUCACCUCAAAUAUAUCAAAUAUU